rnacentral:lncRNA from 1 species
UGCAGCUUCCUUUCUCCGUUUUAGUCGAAAAGCUUUUCCAGAAAGUGCUGGAGCCUUUACUUUUUAAUUCUCAAUUUUCUGGAAGGAGAAUUUAAGGGACACUGUCAAUCAAACUAUUAAAUAACAAAACUGUAUUCAACAACAACGAAAUAAAAAAGGAUGGUUUACAUCUAUCAAUUAAUUUAUAUCAUGUGUAACAAUGGUAUGCUGGUAAUCGUCCAUUUAUAUGGCCUUGUGGGAUUUGAAAUUAUUAAAUGCUAACUUGAUGGAGUCGUAUUGUGCUUGUUUUCAUAUAAGGAUGGUAUUUAAGCUCCUAGCAUAUGAUAAACAUCACUCGAUCUUGAUGAUUUGUCAUUUUAUGUUGAGUUGAAAUGAUGUAGUGUUUAGUUUUCUUGGCCAUGGUCCAUUUUUCAUGUAUUGACUCAUCAAAAGUAGUUGCUUUCCUGUGUGUUUCGGGCGUCAUUCCCUCUCCUGAUUUAACAAGUGCAUAAUGUAGCAAGGGUUGUCGCACACCUUUUAGUUAACUCACUUGAAUAUUUCGCAAUUUUAAAGAGAUCCUCAAUUGUUUAUGAAGUUGAGAUAGGUACACAUUUGCUACCCUGUUACAUUUCUAAUACUUAAUGUCUAUUACAAUUUUGGCCAAAGUGCUAUAAAUGAAUUUUAAAUUAGUAGUUACUUAUGAUAGGUACACGUUGCUUGAUUUAUGAUGGCAUUUAAGAGCUUUGUCUUUUCGGACGGUUCAUAGAUUUGUUAAACUUGGUAUAUGCUUUCUAGGGUGAUUAUAUAAUCAGUGAAACUUUUGAAACAUAUAAAUUUACACGCCUUGUGCAUGGGGUACCGUACUUUUUGUUGUAUACUCUAUCUGCCCUAUUCGCUGCCAAAAUGGCUUGAUGAAAAUUUUUAUCAACUACAAACUUUUUUUUCCUAAUGGUGAUGGUGUGUAUGGAUCCCCAAAAUUGGCUCCUGCUGAUAUAGAGGAAGAUAAGAUAUCAUGACAGGAGAGAAAUGCUUUUAGAAAAGAGAAAAAAUAUGCGACAAGUGAAUUGUAAAAUUCAUAUUUAUGCAUCUCAUGGUAUAACCAUUAAUCUUGAAUUCUUUAUCCUGAAUUUAUUUUUUUUGCGACUAGAAGCUAGUGAAAAAAUGGAGAUAUUCAGGGGUUCCAAAUAUUUAAUGAGGCCGUGAAGCAUAUUUGGUCCAUCAAAGAAAAGAAGAAUUGAAUGAUCUAUUAGGAGGUACUUACAAUUGUAACCAGUGAAAGAUAAAUAUAAUGCAUCAGUAACUUUGUAUUUCUAAUAUUGCAAUUUGUAAUGUCAAGGGGAAAGUGAUGGACUGCCAAAAUUUGCCUAUUUCUAAGAUAUGCUUCUCUCUGAUACAGAGAUCCAAUCUCAAUCUAUACAUCAAUGCUAUUCACUGUGAGCUUCAACCAUUUGCUUGUACCAUUCCUGGUUGUGGGAUGAAAUUUGCAUUCAAACAUAUCAGGGAUAAUCAUGAAAAAUCUGGGUGCCAUGUUUAUGCCCAGGUAAGUUUGGCCUUAUUUCCCAAUUUUACAACUCGACUAUCAGUCCCUUUUCCAUUCUGAGAGAUGUCUUGGGCAAUUAAAAUUUAAACUAAUCUUUGAGUCUUGCUCUGUUAAGGGAAAUUUUGAAGAGUCCAAUGAGCAAUUCGUCUAAGACCAAGAGGUUUCAGGAAAAGAACAAGCCUAGAGAUUGAAACCUUGAUGCGGAAAAGGGUUGUUUCGCCUAGUGAAUCAGGUCUCAUGAGACAGGAGGGACCUGAAUACUUGUCGUGGCUACUUUUUGGAUAUUCACAGGAUUAAAUGAUUGUUGGGAGAAGACGGAGAUGCUGCCAUCAAACAUAUGUAAAAGUAUGGUAUUCACAGGAUUAAGAGGACUUGCUUGGAGAAUUCAACAAACAUAUGUAUAAGUAUGGUAUCUUUGUUGAUUUUAAUUGCUACUAUCAUACAGUAGACAUGUUUUGGUUUGUUUUUUUUUUUUUAUGUAAUAAAUUGGACAAAUCUGAUCAUUGUUUAUUGAAUUGAUUAUAUCGAUU